rnacentral:rRNA from 1 species
AACUUACCAGGUCAAGACAUGGGCGUGAUUGACAGGCUAAUGACUUUUCUCGAUUCCAUGGAUGGUGGUGCAUGGUCGCACUUAGUUGGUGCAGUGAUUUGUCAGGUUUAUUCCGGUAACGAACGAGACCUCGGCCUUGUAAAUAGCUAUGCUGCUUACAGGGACAUUGGCGGCUACGCCAAGGAAGCUCGAGGCAAUUGCAGAUCUGGAAUGCCCUUAGAUGUCCUGGGUCGCACGCGUGCUACAAUGACGCCACGAACGAGCUUGCGUGAUGAAAGUUACGCAUAAUCAGCAGUCGGCGUCUUAAGGGAUAGUCUCUUGUAACUGUGGGACUCCAACUAGGAAUGUCUCGUAAGCACAAGUCAACAUCUUGUGUUGAUUACGUCCCUGCUCUUUGUACACACCGCCCGUCGCUCCUACCGAUCGAGUGUUUAGGUGAAUUUGAUGGACGUAAGGAAGUCAAAUAAACCUGAGCACUAGAGAAGAGAAGUCUACAUGCC